AGGAAGAAAUCAGAGGAGGAGAAGAAAAAGCAUUAAAAGAAAGAAGAGUCUCUCCUUUCAUUCCUUUCAUUCCUUUUUUUUCUCCUUUCUUCUCU
rnacentral:ribozyme from 13 species